AUGGAGGAACUCUCUUGUUCCGAUUGUCAUGGUCACGGCACAGACGCCAACAGCCUUAACAGAGGUUUGGGGUUGUUCGGCAGAGAGAAGUCGGUGGCUUUUCUGCACGAAUACGGGAGCAGCAGGGUUUUUGUACGGCCACUAAACCUGUUUGUAUCACUGUGCUCUCCUUUUGGUGGAGGAACCAAACUGUCUGUGGGCCGUGUCACUCAGCCCAGUGUGACGGUGUUGCCUCCCUCCAGUGUGGAGCUGCAGCAGGAGAAGGUCACACUCAUGUGUGUGGCUGACAAGGGCUUCCCCUCGGACUGGACACUGAGCUGGAAGGUUGAUGGGAGCAGCUGGAGCUCGGGGGAGAGCCGCAGCACCGCCGUUCUGCACGUGGACGGCCUCUACAGCUGGAGCAGCACGCUGAGCCUCCACCCAGAGCAGUGGAGGAACAAGGUGGUGACCUGUGAGGCCUCCAAAGACACCCAACCUACUGUGGUGAGCACAGUGGACACAGAGCAGUGCUCAGACCUGUGAGCUCACACACACUUUACUCAGCUCACCUUCUACUGCUUCACUGUGUGUUACAUGUGGCCUUUACCUGCCUCAGUUUGACUCAGCUUUUCUUCUUAACAUCAAAUAUUUGUUGUAUCACUGCAAUGUCCUGCUUUGAAUUAUUAAUAAAGUUCUUUGAAUCAUUAAA